AAGGAAGAGAAAGAAAUUCGAUUCCGUAAGUAGCGGCGAGCGAACGCGGAUUAGCCCAAACCAAUAAAGUUUUCUUUAUUGGGGUUGUGGACAUAUCAUAACGAAGAGGUAUCGUAAUUGAAGAGGUUUGGAAAGACCCACCACAGAAGGUAAUAGUCCUGUAUGUUAAACGAGAAGACUUUAGAUAUGAUCCAGAGUACCACGGG
rnacentral:rRNA from 1 species